GCAGCUCCAAAUUGAUUCUUAAUGUAAAAUGUUACCUUACAGGAACUACCAGUAGUGUUGCUCUGUUGACACCAUGCUACUUCUUGGCAGUCACUUCAGAGAGAUGGAAGAGGGAAGACUCAUUCUGGUAAGAAGGAAGCUGAUGAUGGCAAAGGGUGAAGAGUUAAAGUAGUCCCAGAAGUCAAAGAAAGAAAAUCUCAAACUCUUCAGCUUUGAAGCAAAUUGGAAACACAGCACACACUACCUCAUAAUGCUCAAGAAGAUUGGAUGCACCUAUAUUUUCAUGCAUUUUGGAUGGAAACGACAGCCUCUCAUCCUUCAGACUCUGUGAAAAAGCAGGAGUGGUAUUUUGUAUAGCUGGGAUGGUCUGCCUGAGUGUAUACUAAACUGGGAUCAGCUUGUUACAGACUUCCUGCACGAACUGGGCUUAAACAAGCCUGCCUUUUUCAGAGAUGUGAAUUUCAUUUUAAAAGGGGAGCUGGGAGAUCAGAUCAAUUUCUGAAAUAAGGUCGUGUGACCAUGUGUUGCUUGUCUUAAAGGGUAAAAAGUCUGACCCGCAGGCUUGUUUGAUUAUUAACAAGAGAGCUUGUCAUUGUAUUAGAGUUAAGAUAUUUUGCAGAGAGUAACACAAGCUUCUUUUGAUGCAAGCAGGGACUUACUGUUAUACCCAGGGAAAAAAGAUCCAACAUUUUUUAUUAUAAGUAGAAGUAAUACCUUUUUGAAGCUCUCUCAGUUGAUAAUCACUUGUACAAUGUCUUGGGAUUUAGUUCUGCCCUCUUGGCACCCCUCUGAAAGUAUAGUUUAAGAAAAAGUAAGUAAAAUUUUAUGUACUGUAUAAAGUAUACAUUAUACUUCAAAUAAUCUUAAACUACACCUUAAACUGUGCUUUGGGGAAACAUAAUCAGAAAAGGCAGCACCAGAGAAUGAGAGACUUCUAAGGUAAAUCUGUACUUUUUUCAAGCAUAUUGUACCUAAUGGAGUUAAAUACUUCUAAAAUCUUUAAGUGAAAUCUUUGGAAAGAAAGGUUUUACUUUGUCACUGAUCUACUGCACUUGAAGAUAGUGCAGGAAGGCAUAUAUUUGGGUUAUUUGGGGGAAGGAGAGAAUGGGAGAAAGGUAAGAAAAUCUCCUCAGGCAAAUUUGGAUAGCUGAGUUGUUUUUAAAGCUUGUCUCCCUUGGAGGAUAGCGCGGGUGGCAGAAGCUGGGAUUUGCUACUCUAUAUGGAGUGAAAGAGAGAGUUAGAUACACACAUAUAUAUAUUUAUAUGCGUGUAUACAAAUACACACACAUGUACACACAUUUCUUCUAUACAUAUAAAUACACAUGCAAUGGUCUAAAGAAACAUACUGAAUAAAUUUUUCCCUGUUCUCCUAUCUCAAUUAAACAACAAAGACUGUUUCCUUACAAAAAAAGGAACAAAGCAGUCCUGGCACUGGAAUAUCAGAAAAUGAAAAUGUUGAGAGACUGAAAACAGAAAGAGGAAAUUAGAGCUAUCGUGCACCAGUGAAUCAUUAUAAGUCUCUCAGCUGCUCUUUGGCAAUGGUUGCUGCAGGGAACUCUGCAUGAACAUGUCUCGUUCACCACCAACAGCUUAUGGGGGCUAACACUACAAAGAAAACAAGGGAGAUGGGUGGGUGGAAAAAUCUGCUUACUGACAAUGCUCACCGUAUGAAUGACAAACUUCCACCUAGAAGUGACAGCAGUCCACAAUGUCACAGGGCCAUGGAGUAUGGGUAGUUGCAAACUAUUUUAUACUCAGAUGUCUGCUAUUCACAAUAUAUUGUACUGUAAAAUAUUUUAGACCUUUUAUGUACUAUAGA